rnacentral:rRNA from 1 species
CCUACGGGAGGCAGCAGUGGGGAAUAUUGCACAAUGGGGGAAACCCUGAUGCAGCGACGCCGCGUGAGUGAAGAAGUAUUUCGGUAUGGAAAGCUCUAUCAGCAGGGAAGAAAAUGACGGUACGUGACUAAGAAGCCCCGGCUAACUAGGUGCCAGCAGCCGCGGUAAUACGUAGGGGGCAAGCGUUAUACGGAUUUACUGGGUGUAAAGGGAGCGUAGACGGCCAGACAAGUCAGAAGGGAAAGCUCAGGGCUCAACCCUGGUACUGCUUUUGAAACUGCCGGGCUGGAGUGCAGGAGAGGUAAGCGGAAUGCCUGGUGUAGCGGUGAAAUGCGUAGAUAUUAGGAGGAACACCAGUGGCGAAGGCGGCUUACUGGACUGUAACUGACGUUGAGGCUCGAAAGCGUGGGGAGCAAACAGGAUUAGAUACCCUAGUAGUC